rnacentral:rRNA from 1 species
UACGAAGGGGGCGAGCGUUGUUCGGAUUUACUGGGCGUAGAGGGUGCGUAGGCGGUUGGAUAAGCCCUCCGUGAAAUCUCCAGGCUUAACCUGGAAAGUGCAGAGGGGACUGUUCAGCUAGAGGAUGGGAGAGGAGCGCGGAAUUCCCGGUGUAGCGGUGAAAUGCGUAGAGAUCGGGAGGAAGGCCGGUGGCGAAGGCGGCGCUCUGGAACAUUUCUGACGCUGAGGCUCGAAAGCGUGGGGAGCAAACAGG